GCUGGGUGUGGUGGUGCACACUUGUAAUCCCAGAUACCUGGAAGGUGGAGGAAGGAGGAUCACAAGUUUGAGGCCAGUCUGGGCAACUUAGUGAGACCCUGUCUUAA
rnacentral:sRNA from 1 species